UCUUUCCCAUUAGCAUUCGUCAACAAAGAGCUAGUGUAGGGGCUAGAGUUAUGACAGCUUCCAUUGUAAUGACAAUGGAAGCUGUCAUAACUCUAGCCCCUACACUAGCUCUUUGUUGACGAAUGCUAAUUAAUGAAGU